rnacentral:sRNA from 1 species
GAAAAAAUUAUUUGGGCUAAGCAUAAUGAAAUUCAGACUGUCAAUAUAAAAGGUGUAGGAGCAGAUGUUGAGAUUGCUGAGGGAGAAAGGUUACCUUUAGCUGUUAAGGAGUUGGGCACAUGUGAUCUCUAUCCCCAAGAGUAUUGCAAAGAGAUGGAGAAAUAUUCCAAGUACAAGUAUUAAAGUCCCAAUCGUGAGCAACCUUAGGAGUAAGUUUAACUCUUUUACUGUUAGGGACACCAACAAGCAUAGAGAUACAUCUAUCUUUCAAGAAACCAAAUAUCAUUACAAAAUAUAAUUUGGUCUGUCCGAAAACUAUGUUCUGAAACCAAAUAUCAUUACAAAAUAUAAUUUCAAGACAAAUUUUCUAUUUUUAAUUAUUUUUGCUCUAAUGCAAAAUUUGGCAAAUUCAGAAAGUAGCAUUUGUACAUGAUUUAGCAAAUUAGACAUUUUGGUACAUUUACAUUGACCUCAUCAUCGGCAUUUUUCUCAUGUUUCAUGAAUCAUGAAUCAUGAAACAUCAUGUUACAUAAAGAUUGAGUAACAUAUAAGAUUAAAUUCCAUCCCCGUUUAGAACUUAUUUAUAUACCAAUAUGUAGUGGCAGGC